rnacentral:rRNA from 1 species
UACGUAGGGUGCGAGCGUUAAUCGGAAUUACUGGGCGUAAAGCGUGCGCAGGCGGCUUUGCAAGACAGAUGUGAAAUCCCGCAGCUCAACUGCGGAACUGCCUUUGAUACUGGGUAUCUUGAGUAUGGAAGAGGUGAGUGGAAUUCCGCGUGUAGCAGUGAAAUGCGUAGAUAUGCGGAGGAACACCAAUGGCGAAGGCAAUCCCCUGGGCCUGUACUGACGCUCAUGCACGAAAGCGUGGGGAGCAAACAGG